AGAACUGAUGUGGGAAACAGUGGCAGAGAGUUAGAGAAAGCAGCAAAGACUGCAAGACUUCAGAGUCAUAGCUGGCUACAAACCCACCCUGUGCAUCCAGUACCACUAGCUGGAGACACUGGAAGAUGCUCUUGUUAUUCUCGGAUCACCGCCUACCCCCAAACCCAUCCUCCUCCCUGCUGCCUCACCUGAGAAGUUGAACCCCAGAGACAGAAAAGAUCACCUGCACUCCUUGUACUGGGCCUUCCCAUCGGCCAAUGUGUGGCAUGAAUGAGGCUGCAUCCCUCUUCCAUAGCACCUGCACUCGUAGGCUCUGCAAACUUCAUCCCCACCUUUGGCCCUUCAGGCCUAGGGCUAGUCACAGCUCCCCAGGACUGUUCAUCCCCAGGCGUCUUGCCAUCCCUAGAUAGCACCUGUAAGCCUGACUACACCUCUCUAAAGCACGUCCUUCAUUAAACUUUCUUCUAUUAAA
rnacentral:lncRNA from 1 species